UACGUAGGGCGCAAGCGUUGUCCGGAAUUAUUGGGCGUAAAGAGCUCGUAGGCGGUUUGUUGCGUCGGCUGUGAAAUCCCGAGGCUCAACCUCGGGUCUGCAGUCGAUACGAGCAAACUAGAGUGUUGCAGGGGAGACUGGAAUUCCUGGUGUAGCGGUGAAAUGCGCAGAUAUCAUCAGGAACACCGGUGGCGAAAGCGGCUUACUGGGUCUCUUCCGACGCUGAGGAACGAAAGCUAGGGUAGCGAACGGG
rnacentral:rRNA from 1 species